rnacentral:rRNA from 1 species
CCAAUAGCGUAUAUUAAAGUUGUUGCAGUUAAAAAGCUCGUAGUUGAAUUUUAGGCCUGGCCGGGCGGUCCGUCUUUGGCGAGUACUGUUCUGUGUCGGGUCUUACCUUCUGGUAAACCGGCAUGUUCCUUUAUCGUGUAUGCCGGGGAACCAGGACCAUUACCUUGAAAAAAUUAGAGUGUUUAAAGCGGGCUUUUGCUUGAAUAGAUUAGCAUGGAAUAAUAAAAUAGGACGUUGGUUCUAUUUUGUUGGUCUAGGACCACCGUAAUGAUUAAUAGAGAUAUUUGGGGUCAUUAGUAUUCAAUUGUCAGGGGUGAAAUUCUUGGAUUUAUUGAAGACUAACUAUUGCGAAAGCAUUUGCCAAGGAUGUUUUCAUUAAUCAAGAACGAAAGUUAGGGGAUCGAAGACGAUCAGAUACCGUCGUAGUCUUAACCAUAAACUAUGCCGACUAGGAAUCGGGCGACGUUAUUUUCACGACUCGCUCGGCGCCUUAUG